GAUGAACGCUGGCGGCGUGCCUAACACAUGCAAGUCGAGCGAUUCUCUUCGGAGAAGAGCGGCGGACGGGUGAGUAACGCGUGGGUAACCUGCCCUGUACACACGGAUAACAUACCGAAAGGUAUGCUAAUACGAGAUAAUAUGCUUUUAUCGCAUGGUAGAAGUAUCAAAGCUUUUGCGGGACAGGAUGGACCCGCGUCUGAUUAGCUAGUUGGUAAGGUAACGGCUUACCAAGGCGACGAUCAGUAGCCGACCUGAGAGGGUGAUCGGCCACAUUGGAACUGAGACACGGUCCAAACUCCUACGGGAGGCAGCAGUGGGGAAUAUUGCACAAUGGGCGAAAGCCUGAUGCAGCGACGCCGCGUGAGCGAUGAAGGCCUUCGGGUCGUAAAGCUCUGUCCUCAAGGAAGAUAAUGACGGUACUUGAGGAGGAAGCCCCGGCUAACUACGUGCCAGCCGCCGCCGUAAUAC
rnacentral:rRNA from 1 species